rnacentral:lncRNA from 1 species
AUGGAGAAGAGAGUGAUGAAUACGCGUCGGCCUCUGAAGAUGACUGAAAUCCAAGGCUCAAGAAAGGAAUUUACACGGCGCCCAAAUGAAACUAUCGUUUCCUGGUUAGUUCGCUGUUGGGACGACUGGGCCAGUAGCUUGUCUCUAGAUGGUAAUGAAGCCCGCCAACUAGGAGCCAUUGCCAGAGAUCCGGCUAUUGACAGCGGGAUUAGUCGAUGUUCGGAUGGGGCUGCCACCCUCUGGGAACGAGUGUUAACAGCCGUGAAGGAAAGGUACCCCUUCAAAAGCGGCUUGAAGCCUGUGACUAAAAGAUGGGAUUCAGCUGAACAGGGUAUCCAGUAUUUGAGGGAAAUAGCAGUGGUGGAAAUGUUGUAUGACCCUAACUGUGUUUUUAACGACCCACAAGGCCAUGACCCUGAGAAAGUGAGAACAACGCGUGAAAUGUGGCAGCAACUCACAUCAACAGCACCAGCCAGAUACGCCUCUGCACUAUUGGCAGCAUCUGACAGAUACCAGGACCAACAGAGAAGCCCCAUAGUUUAUGAACUGAUUCUUACGCUCCAAAGCUAUGAACAACAGCUACCCCCAACUCGCUCCGCCAUCGCCGCCAUCUCACAAAUGACGGAGCAACUGAAUAAAAUGCAAGAGGAAGUGUCUUCACUGAUGAAUCGUGACAAACCUGUAGAAGUAUCAGAAACGCUUGAUGAAGAUCAGAAUAGUCAAAAGAGUCUAAUGAAGGAGAUGAAGGAGCUGAUGAAACUAAUGCGGAUCCAACUAACUAAAGACGAUGAACCCUCCUUCUCAGGUGCAAAAUCAAAAAUAUCAGCUGUUAGAGGCAAACGCUCUCCAGCUCCAGGAAGGAAUCCUACAUCGCGACUUGACUUGUGGCGUUACUUACGUGACCAUGGAGAAGACAUGAGGAAGUGGCACAACCAAGCUACUCAUGUACUACGAGCACGGGUGAGAGAAUUACAAAGCAGAUCAACCGCCAGUGCAGUUGCUCCGGUUACCACAGGUAAUGAAUAG